CAGGUCAGGUCAAGCAUAGCCUGGAUCUCACCACAUUCUUACGGGAUUGAAGGAUGUAAUAUUAAUGACUCAGUAGGCUUGGAAUCAGCCAAUCAGCAAGUGCUCCUUGAACCCCUUGAUAUGGAAGGUACAGGUAGAGGUGAUGUAGGGAGAAGGUGGAGCCAACACUCAGCCCACUGCCCAUCAGCAGUAAGGCCAAAGG
rnacentral:lncRNA from 1 species